CCAUGAAGGUGAAGAUCAAGUGCUGGAACGGCGUGGUCAUUUGGCUCUGGGUGGCCAACAAUGAGAACUGCGGCAUCUGCCGGAUGGCCUUCAAUGGCUGUUGCCUGGACUGCAAGGUGCCAGGUGAAGACUGCCCGCUGGUGUGGGGCCAGUGCUCUCACUGCUUCCACACGCACUGCAUCCUCAAGUGGCUCAACGUGCAGCAGGUGCAGCAGCACUGCCCCAUGUGCCGCCAGGAGUGGAAGUUCAAGGAGUGAGGCUGCACUGCCCUACUCUCCCCUUGCCCUGAGACGGCCCCGCCCCCACAGUGGCUCUGGGUGGCCAUGGUCUCCACUGGGCCAGUCCCCUUUGGGCUGUGACAGGGUUGAAACGAGGACUGGAGCUGCGUUUGUUUCUUUUUCCAUCACAACAUUGACACUUUUAUCCAAUAAGUAAAACUCAUUAAACCAC